AGCAGUAGCCACGGUAACACGGAGGGGGCUAGCGUUGUUCGGAAUUACUGGGCGUAAAGCGCACGUAGGCGGCUUGGUAAGUUAGAGGUGAAAGCCUGGAGCUCAACUCCAGAAUUGCCUUUAAGACUGCCGAGCUAGCAGGUGAGAGAGGUAAGUGGAAUUCCGAGUGUAGAGGUGAAAUUCGUAGAUAUUCGGAAGAACACCAGUGGCGAAGGCGGCUUACUGGCUCGUACUGGACGCUGAGGUGCGAAAGCGUGGGGAGCAAACAGGAUUAGAUACCCCUGUAGUCCCUGUCUCUUAUAC
rnacentral:rRNA from 1 species